UCCAUCCAAUCUUUCCAACAACUAAAUUAUAUAUAAAGUCAUAAUUCCUCACAUGCAUAAGGAUGCAAAUGAAAUAAACCCUAAAAAAUUAGCCAACUACCCACUAAAAAAACAUACCCAGUGCUGUCUGAAAAGUGUCAGAAUCAAUCGAUGAUGUGAAACUGUGAAUGAAUAGGAUCCACCGAUCGGAAUCCACUCAAGAAUCUAUAUAAACGUACAUCGAUCUAUACAUGUAAGUAGGUUAGAACAGAUAUAAGAAAGAGAAGAGCUUCCUGCAGCCAGCCGGGUGAGUAGUUGCCAUACUAUUCUUGUCAAGUAAACAGAUCUUAGCAGAUCAAUCUUAUCUUCGUUGUCUGUUCGACCUUGAUAACUCGCAUGUAUUAAUCAACUCUUUUUCAUCUCUGCCUGAUUACCUGCCCAGAUUUUUUCGAUAUUUUACAAUUUUCAUUUUCUUCUUCUAGCUUGUGGUAGGUAGCAAUAAAAAUCACUUGCAGUGUCCUUGGGUACAGCCCGUCCAAAAGAUCACACGUGUUUAUUUACAUCUCAUGAUCCUAGAUUAACUAAGAUAAAAAAAACUUACGGAGAUAUUAAUUCAACUAAUCACGAUAACUAUUAAAAUUGUUAAAAUUAUCGUUUAGAGUUCUAAUCUCUUUGUGUAUUUAAUUUUUAUCAUGAUAUAAACCUUAGCUAGAAUUGAUUUAAUUUAAUCAACAUGCAUUCAAGGUCGAAUUGGCAAUGAAAAUGAGGUGUGUUUGGUAUGAGGACUGUGUACUUGAGAAGGUUUAGUUUGGCAACAACACCUCCACCGAUUCCUAUCUCUAUAACUCCUAUUUAAUCAUAAGAUUUGUUUAUAACUAAACUAUAUAACUAGUGAAAGUCGGGAAGAGAAUCAAUUAGUUUUUUUGUUUUAUAUUUUUAUACUUUGUGUAAUCUUGUCAAAUAGCCAAAUAUAAAAUCAUUAUUUUAAAAAAUAAAAUAAUUUUUAUUAAAAAAAGAUAAUGUUCAAAUUACAUAGAGAAUAAAAAUAUAUAUAAAAAAUGAAUAAAAAAUUUAUUGACAUUUUCUCAUUAGUUAUGUAGUCUGGUUAUAAAAUAAUUAGAUACGUUGUCUUAGAAAAUUAAUCUUCUAUACUUUUAUCGUAAAUAUCUUUAAAUGGUGAUAACAACUUUUUUUUUGUAACACUCUAAUAUUAAAGAAGAAAUUGUAUAAAAUCAUUACUUAGCGAUAUGAUAAUCAAUUAAACUAGAUGCAUGGAUCUCAAGAGCUCGAACACCAAAUUAGACUUGGGCCCUAUGACAAGCCCAUUAUGAACCUCGCGUUGGACUUUCUUCUUAAAUCUGGUCCAUAUACAAAAUCUCGCAGUCCACAGAUCAGGUGAAUAUAUUAAUUAAUUCACAAAUUCAACACUCAAACUUUUGUAUUAGAUAAUAAGAAUUAAGAUCUUUACAACUACACCAGUCACCACUCACCACUCACCACUCACCAAGCAGCUAAUGAUAAUGACAUAAAAAUGUUGUAUUUUUAACUUCUUAUGCAAACAACAGAAAUUUACCUCAAAAUAAUAAUAAUAACAAAUUAAUAAUUGUAACACCACCAAACCAGCUCACUUGUUUUUCUUCUUUUUCUUCUUCUUCGAUUUGGACUUGGAACCACGUUGUGGCUUGUUAGUCACGGAAGCCCGAAUGGAACUUGGAUCCUCCUCCUCAAAUCCAAUACCAGUAUUCCUGGGAAUGGAACUUUCAUCGACCUCUUCACCUCCGAAACCGUAUUCAUUGAUUCGUUUCUUAUCAACUGGGUAAAUCCAUUUUUGGUAAAUAAAUAUCACAAAGAUAAGAUCUGCACCCAAUUAAAUGCAGUUAGCAUCAGACAUCCAGAUUUAUGUAAAGAUGGCGAUGGACUGUAUUUACGUAAAUAAUGAAUAGCUCAGAAGCUCACCAUCACGAAAAACAGAAAGUCGGUGCAAUGUUGGCAUUUUGAUGACAAAUGCAAAUAGAUCAUCAAUGAUGGUGUUGAGAAACUUGUAAGUCAUCUGUCUCCAAGGAAGAUGAGCUACUGAUUUCAUUUUAUAAUUUAUGAAUAACUGUGGACACAUCAUGAUGAAACCUGCAGUGAAGAAUGAAUAUCAAUGAGAAAUGAUGCCUGGAUGAGGGACGGUGAUCGUGCAAUAUCAGUAAUUAAUUACUAACUAGACGGGAAUUGAAGCUUACCAAACAUAUAUACACAGGUGGUGAGAGAAGAUAGUAUCCAAGAAUACCAGCUUUUGUGGCGUUUAUACAUGAGAGAAUAGACAGAGAAACCCAGUAUUAGUAUGGAAAUAACGUAGUAUAAAUACUUCAUGGCAAGAUCAUCAUAUUCUUUAGUCUUGUUCCUUUUAUAUGAUUCAUGAUUUCGAAAUCUUAACAUCGGAAACCACCCACUUCUGUCAAUCUGAAAUAGAAGAAGAAAAAAAGAAGAGUGAGGGAAAUCUAAUACUCAUUAACAAGAAUCGUCUAAACCCCAAUAAUUCGCCCAUCCAUGUAUGUGCCCAAGAAAAAUAAUAACCAAUCUUAGUACUUCUAGCUAGCUAUUCAAUCUUUAUUAUAUUGCUACACCUUGAUCAUUAGAGGUUAGGACCAUUGUGCAUGGUUAUAUUUUUGUAAAAUGAUCAAGAGUCAAGAAAUACAUACCUUGAUAUGCAUAGCUUUUCCAAUUUUCCAAAACUCAAUGCAGCAACCAGCGGCGGUGCUUAGUAGUAUCAUCCAUGAAGUAUCAUUGUCGAGAAGAUAAAGGAAUAUAACUAUCUGACAUAUAAAAUUCACAACCACAGAUUUUGCAGAUAAUCCUUUCAUAGAUUUGUUUUUCUUCCAAAAUUGAAUAUCUGUAAGAAAAUAAAUAUGAAAAAGUAUUAAUACUUUCAACUUUGAUCUGAUAAAAAAACAAUUUAUCUUGAAUAAUAUAAAAAUAACAAUGGGAUUACAUUUUUUACUGAUUACCAUUUUUAAAUGCUAGGAAAUCAAAGACAGAAUGGAAUAUUGAAACCACCAUUGUUAAUGCCAGUAGAUAUGGAUUCCCUUCCAAGUAUACUCUCUGUAAAACAGCACAUUGAAAACUCAAAAGUGUUGCGAAAAAAAUUCAGAUGACCAAGGUACAUGAAGUAAAAUCGAAAGAGGUCAGAUAUUAAAAAUAGCCUGAAAAAAAUUAUAUAUAAACAUACGAAAUUACAAAUACAUGAUGUUUUAAUUUAAUUAGUUUAAUAAGGUCAGUACCUUCAACCCAUCAGAUUCUCCUUCAAUCAUAAGUCCAUAGUUGUUAUGCAACUGGAAAGAUAGUUCUAUCUGUUGGAAUAUUUGCCACUUGGUCUUACUAAUUGAACCAAGUUCUAGAUAUAGGGGCAGCUCCAGAACAGUCUCAUUUAAUGGAAUGAAUUGAUCUUUUAAAAGCCAAAACUCAUUGAAGUACACAAUGGGAGAAUAUCUCAGGUUCUUAGGUUCCACAAUCAGUUCUGUAGACUGUUAUAAGGAUCAUAAUAGAAUAAUGCUAAAGCAAAUAUGGAAAUAUAUAUAAUACGAGCAUGGAAUAUUUCAAAACUGUUGUGGAUUAUUUCGACAGUUGUACUAAUUCAGGAAAAAACAUUCAACUUCUGUCUAUUUUUUUAUUACUAAUUAAUUUUUACUUAAUUAGUCUAAGCCAGAGAAGGCUUGCAUGAGGUAGCAACUAGUAAAUGGUUUCACGAGACUAAAGUUUGCAUGAGGUCAUGAAUCUUACUCUCAAGAGUUUUAACCUUUGUAAUUAAAUUUUUUGUAAUCAAGUUAAUUGCGAAUUGCAAUGGUAAAUCCCCUGAUCCGGAUGGUUUCACCUCGAAAUUCUUCAAAAAAUUCUAGGAAGACUUGAAAGGCUUAGUAAUGGAGGAGUGUGUAAGCCAGUUCUUCAAAGGCAAGCCCUUGUUGAAAUCCUCUAAUCAUACUUUUAUCACGCUUGUUUCUAAACCAAACACAUCAUCAAAUAUGUCUGAUUUUAGACUCAUUUCUUGUGUUAACUUGAUUUACAAGCUAAUGACAAAAAUCUUAGCAGAUAAGAUUAGUAAGGUCUCUAGUGAGCUCAUUUCCCCGAGCCAAACAACUUUCAUCUAGGGUAGGCUCAUCUCAGACAAUACCAUUCUAGAUGAUGAAAUGGUUUAUGGCUUCAUGAAAUUGCUAAAGGCAAUUAAAGCACUGCUUGAGAAAUUCUCGCUUUUUCGAGAUUGGAAGUAAAUGCAAAUAAGAGUUUCUUCACCCUUCUCAAAUCCCUUCACCAAUCCCUACCUAAUAUCUUAGGAUACUCUGUUAAAAGUCUACCCAUAUCAUACCUUGGGCUCUCAAUCACAGGGAAGAUGAAAUCGUAUAGGCAAUGCUGGAAAAUGAAAACUCAUCCAACCAAUAGAGGCACUCUUAGAAAGAUGAAGUGGAAAAUGCCUUUCCUGUGAGGGUAGAAUACAAUUACUUAAUUCGAUAACAGUUGGAAAGUAUACCUAUUGGGCACAAUUGCACAAGACAUGACAAUCUCUGACUCUGUUGCUAAGAAGGUAAGAAGGUUGGUCUAUAAAUUUAUAUGGGAUGGAAGAAAAGGGAUCCCUAGAGGUUAGAGAUCUCCCUAUUAUGACCACUGCAACCAAAAUUAAAAGGGUCUCAAAGUACUGGGAUAAGAGUGAUUCUAUUUUAGUACAAUGGAUCCAGGAUAGAUAUAUUGGGGGGAAACACUUAGAGAUAUUCGAAUUAGGCCUAUUUCUGGAAAGCUUUCAUAUCAGAGAGGAAUUUAGUAGAUAAAUAUUUGGAUUGUAGAGCUAAUAGAACUGUAGUUUGGAGAUCCGAUACUCCUAUAAAUAAGUUGGGACGAAUUGUGGAAAAUAUUAUAGAUAGAAGUCAUAAAAACCUAUUAGCGAAGGGAAUUUGAUCGAAUAUGCCAAAAAAAUCUCUAUUUUUCUAUGGAAAGUGGAAUGAGAUCAUACAAACACUUUCAGAAAACUGAGGAAUUGGAGAGUGCAAGUACCUCCUGCUUGCCUAUUGUGCAAUCUGAAGAAAGAAUCUAGAAGUCACCUCUUUUUCAAUUGCUCAUACUCUAGGUCUCUCUUAAUCCCAUUGGCUGAGCACUUAAAUCUCUCCUUUUCGAGGUUAAUGAAUAUUCCAAUUCCUACCCAAUCAAGUGUGGAUAUAAGAUUGGGGGAUCUUACGAAAGUUGCACAAAAAUUCACACAUCACUCCCCCAUUGGGGGCUACUCUGGAAUGCCAUUGGGUUCUUUUCGUGUCACAUCUGGAUAGAGAAAAAUAAAAGAUAUAGAUAGCACACCAGUAGGCCUCCUGAGGUAGUUUUUAAGGAGAUAAUGAAGGAAAUCAGUCUCUCUUUUGGACCGGAGUAUCACAAAAAGAGUUAUUGUCACUCUUUGGAGACAUCGACAAUGGAAGUAUGGGAGACUAAUUGAUGUAGCAUCGGGCUAUCCUAACCGAGCCUCUACGGGAGUGCAAGACUCGGUGAUGCUUAACUAGAAAUGAGGACUCAUCUCAAGGGUGCCACUGCCUUGAUAUGAGUAUAAAAGAAGAAUAAGAGUGGUUAAUAAGGCAUUUUGUUUUUGCUAAUCCAAUUCAGGUAUUCUUCCCCCUCAAAUUUUCCUUUCUUUCUGUUACUCUACUGAUCGUCUGGUGGAUUCCUCUCGGUUAUGUUAUUUCCUUUCUUACAAUCGUCCCAUCGCUGGCUGCGGAUCGUCUUUCCACGAUCAUCAUCUUCUCUUCCAAUCGUUGCUAUUACCUCCAGUACAACUCUCUUUUUGUUUGCUUCAACACCAAUUUCCUGAAGCAGCGUAUCUAUUUGCUAUAUAACUAGAGUACAUAGCUAAUGGGAGAGAGUCAAUAAAAUUUUUGCUCUUUUUUUUUACUUUAAUUUUGUAUUUCUAAUUUCUCUAUCAUUUUUGUAAUUUGGGUAUUGUCCUUCAUUUUCAUGAAAAAAAUUAAUUUCCAAUGGAUACCGGAAGCAAUCGUAGGCGGAACAGAGCCUUGGGAAUAUCUGUACAUAAAAAUAGAUAAUUAUCCUUGCACAUACCUUUUUUUAAGAAAUAUAUUGCAAUAUCAUGCAUCAAAAUUCAAAAGCAUCAACACAUACCUUGUGAAGUCCUCAACGAGAUUUAUUGUGAUAUUUGGCUUCCAGUAUGAAAUCCAUCUUUCAUGACUCUUGUCAUUUGCAUCAUCAUGAGUGUCAUAUUUUGACUGUAAGAAACAUGCAAGUGAAUUAUUAACAACAAAGACCACCACACUAAAGUACAAGUGAAUUAUUAACAACAAACCUCAGGAAUUGACUUAUCCUCUUUAGAACCCUCAUUUCCUAGUAAAUUCAUAUUUUUGUCGACUUUUGAUUUUGGUAGGUAAGCCACAAUAGCUGAAAACAAGGAUAGAAUUAGUAUACAAUCCAUACAUACAUGACAUAUCCUUGGAUGAUUGAAGUGAGAGCAACAAAAGAACCAGGAUAGCUUACGAUGUGUUUUGCUAAAAACAAAAGUGCGUUGGUACUGAGGAUCAUCAGGAUCACAAGGGUAGCCAGAGAGAGCAAAGAAAACAUGCACAUAGAGACUCCCAUUGUGUUUCAGAUCCUGAUAAAAAAAAACAUACCAUUCAUUAACAUAAGUUUAAAAUCCUUAAGACACUGCAAGUCAUGUUGUUGCAAUGAAUUGAAUGGACACUAGGAGAGUACCUCUGAUGGGUAGUAUUUGAGAAUCUGAGAUCUUCUACUUUCAGGUUCCCAAGAGGCAUAUGGGACAUCAAUUUCAUGCCAGAGCAGAGCACUCUCAUUACCGAAGUCUUCGAACUUGUCUUUCUCGGAUAAAUAAAGCCACAUGUCCUAGAAAUCAAACAAGAAUAGAACCGUAUGGAAUCAAAAGAUAAAAAUAAAUCCAAUGAGAACCACAUUCGCAGAUUAUCGUCAAAAUUGUCAAGGCAGAUAUAACUAACUAACUAACUAACUAACCAAUCGGUCGCCUUUUUCGAAAAUGUUGGACAUGAAUUUCGAAGGUUCAGCUGGUUGCUGCUUAGGAGCGAAGAAUUUCAUGAAGAUAACGUAUAUCAUCACCGUUUUUGAAAACUUCUUGAGUGACUGGCUUAGUCUUCCUUCCUCCGGAGGCUGUUGCGCUCCACCCGACGGCGCAAUCUCUGCCACCGGAGUCGCCAUCGGAAUUCUCUCUACUGAGAAAAGAACUCGAGCUUAUUUUAACGGCGGAGACUUUGUUUUGAAAUAGAUCCGAUUGCUCGGAUCGUGGUCAGUUAGUCUGUUCGUUUUUGGAAGACAAAUAAAAUAUUAUAUAUAUUUUUUAUUUAGUAGUGGAGUCGACGUUUCGAAGUCUGGAACGGUAGUGGUUUAUGAGUUUAUCCCGUAUAGAAUUUUAAAUGACACAACUGGGUCAGAUUGAUCCGUUUUCCAAUUUAUACGGGUCGGAUUUCUGAAAAUUGAAAAAUGAAUUUCCUGAUUUCUUUCGAGAUGCAAACGAGUUGAGUUUUAAAGAUAUUGUUCGAACUCGACUCAUAAAACAAAGCUGGACUCAACUUCGAAUUUAAAUAAAUAAAUUAAAAUUAUUUAGAGAUUAUUUUGUAAUUGAGACAUUGCCACAUUGGGUUAUUUAUAUUAUUGUAUUUUAAAUUUUAAUGACUUAAAUUUUAAAAGAAAAAAAAAAUAUAUUAGAUUAUUUAUAAAUUAUAACCUUUAUAUAUAAAAAAUUAUAAAUAUAUUUUUAAAAUUUUCUUAUUGAGCUUAUUGAACAACAUAACUCGAAACUCGACUCAAUAAGUAAAUGGAACACCAUUAUUAACGGGUUGAGUCUUAUCAAGUGAAGCUCCCUUAGCGUCUUAAAAAAUUGUGCACAUUAUCUUUUUUUUUUUACACAUCUUCUGGUCUGGACCAAAAUGGUAAAAUGUAUGUCAUGUGUAGCUUAGACGAAAUGGUUUCAUUCUUUAGUCUUCACCCAUUAAGAUGUUGUUGCAAUGUGAAACAUAAUUAUCAAUAAGGUGUGAGGAGACAACACACCUUUGCUGGGUGAUGUUGAUAUUUGAAAGGGUAUUCUUAUAAUUUUUCCAUCAGAUUUUCUUCUUCUGUGGUUGGAUCACGAAAAAUCACCCAUCAAUUUAUUUUUAUUUUAUUUUAUUUAAAUUUUAAAACAAAAGCUAACCGAUGUUUGUCCGUAAAAGUCACGACCGCGGACCACUCGAUUAUCACUAAUUUUAAAUCCUAUAAAAUAAAACACACAGAGAGAUUUAGCAAAUAGCAAUUUUGACUUAUCUCGAUUUCUUUGGAAGGCAGUGGCAGUUUCCUGCACGUGGUUGUAAUAUUUUGAAGAAUCAGUGGUCAUUUGGUGGCCACGGUUAUACUAUAAUACUACUAUAUUAUAUUAUUAAAUCGUGGUUUCAUUAUCAUUAUCUUAUCUUGAAUGGCGUGCUGCUGGGAAUCAAGGGUACGUGGUAGAUUGAUGUCUGGUAAAUCAACGGUCCAGAUUUCUUUGCAGAAACGUUCUGUGCUAUCUCGGAACACGUUUACGACUUCGAUAAUCGGGUUUGAAACACGUUGUGGUCGGUUGACUAUUUUUUUUUUUUUACAUUUCAUUCUCUUAUUUUUUUAACACUUAAAUCUCAAAAUAAGAUAAUGAUCAUAUAAUUAACAAGUCAUUAAAUAAAAAUAUAUGAUCAUAAAUGAACCGGAUUGCAUUUUGUAAUUAGUUUUUAUUUAAUAACUUGUCGAAUGAAGGAUUGAAGAUUUGAAGGUACGAUAAUUAAUAAUUAUAAUGAAAUAAAUAUUUACCUUAUCGGUAUUUUUUUUAUUAUUAAAAAUGAUCAAGUCGUGAAUAGUGGAGGGGUAGAUGAAAAAUAAAGAGUAUAAAGAGAGGGGUGUAAACGCAAAAAAAAAGUCUUGGAGUCUUGGUGGAAAGUGAGAGAGAGGCAUCAGCAACAGUGGAUGCUGCAGGUGCAGAGGGAGGCAGCAAGGACAGCAGAUUUAAAAGUAAUCGUGUACUCGUGUUGGGGAAAGCCAAAAAUUCAAAAAAAUAAAUAAAAAAUAAAUAUAUAUAUAUAUUUUAAUUUGGAAAAUAUUAAUAAUAAUAAUGAAUUAAUCAGUUAAUGAUCAUGAUUCAUGGUUUAUGAAUUAAGUCAAUACUUUAACACUUUAAGUUAUUAACUGAACGAUAAAAAUAAAUAAAUAAAUCAGGGCAAUAUAUUGAAUAUCUAUUUCGCUAUUGGUGUGUGUGUGUGUUCGUGUCUGUGUCGAGAGAGAGUUCCCCCAAUCCUCGACCGAUCCGAAUAGGUGUCGAAAAGGGUGAAUUCAGGAGUCGAUCCGGCCGAUUUUCUGCGGAUGCAACGGAGCUGCGGUGAAUUUUGUGGUCUGUGGUUUUGAUUCGGUGGAAAUAUCAACAGCGACGAAGGAUUUUGGAUCUAGGGUGGAUUUUCCGGCGUAGGUGAAAAAUCGAAGGAUUUAGCAGUGGAGAAAUUAGCUAUUGGAGGUCGUUUGCUUUUUUCCGGACUCCAGAGGUAGAUCUGAAGAAAUCCCAGAAAUCCCUCAACCCCUCACUUUCUUCAUCUCUCUCUCUCUCUCUCUCUCUCUCUCUCUCUCAUGUUUAGUGUCUUAAUAAAGGCGGUGGUAUCUUUACGGGUCUGGUCUCAGUUCUUUGGCCUUAAAAGCUGAGCCCUUUGGGGUUUCUCCACUGCGAGCAGUUACAGAGCUAGAGCAUCAGCAGUAGAGGUGUUAGUCCUACAGCUGCCGCUUGGUGUAUGCUAAUUUUAGCGUGCACCUUUUCCGAGGCAAAUAAUAUUGAUUUACAAUAGUUUUGCUGGGUCUCCGGCGAAAAGGUAGGUCACCGGGUGACAUCUAUUGUAAAUAGUAAUUAUUGCUCCUAGCUCUGGACGUAUGGUGACUGGAUCGUGACCAACAAGUUGUUGAAAAUCUGAAAGGAAAGCGAGAUUUAUUGAAGGAACUUGAAGCUUGGGUCUAGUAUUAGUUUCGUCUCACCUUUUCCUCUCCGUAAUUUUUUUGGUGUUUCCCCUUUUUUAGACGGAACAAAUUCGAGGUAUUGGAUAGUUAGACAACGCGUCUUCUCCAUCUUUCAAGUUGAGUACGUUCUUAUUGGCUUACUUGUGUUGCCUGAAGGAAUCUUCUUUUUCGAGUGAUUGUUGCAGUACACAAUUGUAGUUAGUUUCUGGGUGGGAAUGAGUUCGAUGGCACCGGAAGGUCCGACUUCAGGUCAGUGUUCGUCCUGUUUUAUAUUUGUUGAAAUAUACGUUUUGUUUGAAUCUUUGAAAACUAUACCAACUGAUUUCCUCAGCACAUAUAACUAUAUAAGUAUGUAACACCUCCCCAUUUUUUAAUCUAUUUUUGGCCAUAUCUUUGUUUCCACGUACCGUCUCUUCCGUUUGCCAAUUCAUGUUGGUUUUUCAACUAAUUUGCCCAAUUUCCAUGUACGCUUUCGUGUGCGUGUGUUUAAUCAUGAUAUCUAACAUUGUUUUGUUAUAUCGCAAAAUCAGAUAACUUUGUGUAGUUUGUUUCUUUCAUUACUAAUUCAGUAUGAUAAAAUUAUUCUCUUAAUUUUUUCCCAGGCCAAUCUAAUGAGAUGCUGUUGAGGGAGCUCUGGCAUGCUUGUGCUGGGCCUUUAGUAACCGUUCCUCGAGAGGGUGAACGGGUCUAUUAUUUCCCUCAAGGUCAUAUGGAACAGGUAAAUUUGAUUGAUAACAUGACUUGGUAAAAGAAAUAAGAAACUUACACACGGACUUAAAAAUUGACCAUUUUAAAUAUUCCUUCCAGAAAAGAUUAUUUCCUUUUUCAUCUGUGCUGUUGAAACAUCAUUAUUCAUUAAUAUAAAAUUACCAUUUUGGUUCUUGUGUUUGUUCUUAUAGCUUGAAGCAUCAACACAACAGGGCUUAGAGGUAGAUCAACAAGUUCCUUUGUUUAAUCUUCCAUCUAAAAUUCUUUGCAGCGUAGUACAUGUUCAGCUUCAGGUAAUUCCAAUUAAGUGAUCUUGUAUCUUGUUUGAUAGUCAAUUGCUUCAUAAUCUGGUUCUGAAGAGUGUAUAUUAUUCACUAUAUUUUACGUUGUCUGCUUGCUCCACAGGCUGAAACAGAAACAGAUGAAGUUUAUGCACAGAUUACAUUGCAGCCUGAACUUGAUGUGAGAAUGAGUCUUAACUACUUUUAUCUAUUCAAAUUCAACUAGAUUAUUGUUUUCUUAGAAUGAGAUAUUUCAGAAUAAUAACCUUCACACAAAUAAUUAAGAUACGUAAAUAAAUUCAUUUAUUUUGAUCUUGGGUCAGCAAGGAGAAAUUACAAGUCCAGAUCCUCCAUUACCAGAACCUGAGAGAUGCAUGGUACAUUCAUUCUGUAAGACACUUACUGCUUCUGACACAAGCACACAUGGAGGAUUUUCAGUUCUUAGAAGGCAUGCAGAUGAAUGUCUUCCACCUCUGGUUAGUAAUUUUAUAUCCCUAUGUUUUUUUCCAGUGAACUUCUUAUAAAAAAUCAUGUACUUGAUGGAUCGAUCUUUGUUUAAUCCAGGAUAUGUCACAGCAGCCACCUUCUCAGGAAUUGGUGGCUUCGGAUCUGCAUGGCAAUGAAUGGCAUUUUCGUCAUAUUUUCCGAGGUUUUAAUUAGUUUGUUUGUUUGUUAUCUCAAUUGAUUUCAUAAUUAUAAAUUUCUAAUAUUUGAAGCAUGGUUUGCGUAGUGUGCGAGCUAUAUCAGUAUAGUAUGCUACUACUACUAGCACCAUAGCACCAGUUGAUGGCGCUAUUUAGCGUUCUAUUUCAACCUGGUUGCUAGGCGGAUCCGAGUAAGUUUCCGCCAAGUUACUUGGUAAUAGCUUAUGGUUAGGAUUGAGCUAUAAUUUGAAAUCGUGAUUUCACCUUAGAGCACCCACUCUUCCCUACUUCCAUUUACCAGCAACCUCCAGAAACCAUCCAACGACCUCAUCCUUAUUAUAUCUCUUUUUUCUUUAUGACAUUUUGACUUAUUUAGUUUGUAUUUUAGCUAAUUACGUAAGUAUAUUUAUCACUAUGUUAGUCUGUUGUGUACUUAAGUAUUUUAAUGCAUUUAUUCUAAAUAGGCAAUAUUUACACAAUACAUUUAUGUUUUUUAAAAUGUAUAAAAAAUAUAUUGGGCGAUAUAGCCCCGCAUUGCCGACACUACAUGCUAUGGUACAAAUGAAACCUUGAACGGAAGCAAUGGUUUCAGGAUAUGAUAGCCAUUUCAAUAUGUUCUCAUUGGAUUAAAAUCAUUUCAUUUCAUUUCUUUUCUUUUUAUAUUUAAUGCACCACAUACGAAAAGCCCUGUUUAUUAAUAUACUGACUAUCUUUAGGAGAAAAGUUGAUUUUGAUUAAAAUAGUAGUCCAAUAACUCAAUUGUCUGUGAAUCUUUGAUGUAAUCAUGGGGGACAUUCUUUUGUGUCUAAUCACAGUUUUUUUACGCAGGACAACCCAGGAGACAUCUGUUAACCACUGGCUGGAGUGUUUUCGUAAGUGCUAAAAGAUUAGUUGCUGGUGAUGCAUUCAUCUUCCUGAGGUGAGUAUUAUUUUUCAAGUUGAAUGACCCAUACAUUAAUCUUCGUUCUAAUCUUUUGUAUUAAUCUAAUUUCCUUAGAGGAGAUAAUGGAGAAUUGCGUGUUGGUGUAAGACGCCUUAUGAGACAACUGAACAACAUGCCAUCAUCUGUCAUAUCAAGUCAUAGCAUGCAUCUAGGGGUUCUUGCAACUGCAUCUCACGCAGUUUCAACUGGGACACUUUUUUCUGUCUUCUACAAACCAAGGUUUUUUUUGUAAUCAGAUUUUCCCAUUUAAUAAUGUAACGUUGGUUCUUUUCUGAGGAAUUGCAUUCUGAGAAAUAUUCCAUUAAUUGAAUAUUUCAAAUUUCUAAGCUACCUAUUUCCAUUGUUUUUGUUCAUAUUUUUUUGUAAUAUUAUCUGCCAAAAAAUAUAUUUAUAUAAUAAUUUGUCCGUGUGUGUUUGAAAUAGUAAAUUAAUCUCUGAAUAAUUACUAAAUUGCAGAACAAGUAGGUCUGAGUUUAUCGUAAGCCUUAACAAAUAUCUUGAAGCUCGAAGCCAAAAACUUUCAAUUGGGAUGCGGUUUAAAAUGAGGUUUGAGGGAGAAGAAGAUCCUGAAAGAAGGUACAAUGGCUUCAUUUUUUAGUCAAUUUGCAUAAUUUCUCUGGAAGUGUGAUAUUUAUCUAUUUACAUGUUUUUGAUUAUGUAGGUUUAGUGGGACCAUAACAGGUCUAGGAGAUAAUGCAUCAUCACACUGGGAAGGUUCAGAAUGGAGAUCUUUAAAGGUCAGUGGCAUGUUUCCUCAAAGUUUGACAUUUGGAAUUAUGAAAUUUUGCUAAUUACAUUUUGAUAACUCCAUUUUAUUAAAUAUAUAUACAUUUUUAACAUUUCCAAUAUGGUCACAAAAAUUGUAUGAAGGUCCAAUGGGAUGAGCCUUCGUCGAUUUCGCGCCCUCAAAGAGUUUCACAGUGGGAAUUGGAACCAUUGGUCACAUCCAAUACUCCCACUGCCCAACUGGUAUCAAGAACCAAGCGGGCACGAUCUCCAACAUUGAAUUCUAUUGCAUCAGACCUUUCUUCUGCAUUUGGUAUGUGUUUCUUUAUAUUAACGUGUCUUUGAUUUGUUUAGACAUUUGAUCUUGAAUAAAAAUUUAAAGAAAUUGAAUAAACUAUAUUAAAUUAGGCCGACGUUUUUAAUUCCUUUUUUACUUCCACAAAUUACUUACUGGAUUUGUACUGAGUUCUCAUUCUACUGUUCUAGGAUGGUCCUCUAAUUUCCCCCCCGUAUUUUUUAGGUAUGUGGAAACCUUCCACUGAUGCUGGGAAUCCUGUUUCAUAUUCUCCCAUGUACCGUCACCAAGAACCUUAUUCAUCGCAUAGUUUUACUCCGCGCUUCUCUCCACUUUCAAAAGCAAACUCUAUUGCAUUCAGUGUGAACAGUAACCAACCUCCGAAAUCCACUAAUCAAAUGCAUUGGCCCAUUCUUAAGGAGCCACAUGCUGACUUAUUUUCAGGUAGUUUUAACAAUGAGACAUCUGAAAAGAAACAGGACACUGGUAAUGGAUACAGGUUGUUUGGUGUUCAACUUAUUGAAAAUACCACCACUGAAGAAACAUCGCCCUUAGUGGCUAUGUCUGGUUUUGUUGAAGAUGAUCAUCCUGUUUUUUCUCUGAAUGCGGAAUCAGAUAGGUUGUCACAACCAUCAACAAUAAAUCGGUCUGAUGGUCUGGAGAUUGAAGCUAAGCAAACUCGAAGUUGCACCAAGGUAUGUUAACCAGGAUGUAUUGUGUGCGCUGUAGAUAUUAUUUGUGUGCGUGUUUGAUGUGUAGGUCAAGUAAUUUGUCCAUUUAUUUAUCUUUAUCAUAAAAAUGUCUAUAUUUCCUACCCAGGUUCAUAUGCAUGGUAUGGCUGUUGGAAGAGCUGUGGAUUUGACAAGGAUGGAGGGAUAUGACGAACUCCUUGGAAAACUAGAGGAGAUGUUUAACAUCGAAAGUGAGCUUACUGGAUCUGUCAAAAAAUAUACAAUUGUCUAUACUGAUGAUGAGGGUGACAUGAUGUUGGUAGGGGAUGAUCCAUGGAGGUAUUGCACUAAUGCCAUUUAAUCCAUAUUCUAUUCCAUCAACUAAUUUGCAUAUCUUAGUGUACGGUUGUUAACAUGUUUAUUUUGCUAGUGAGUUCUGUUCAAUGGUGAAGAAAAUCUGUAUCUAUACAAAUGAAGAAGCCAAGAGGCUCUCUCCAAGAAAGAAAUUACCUGAUAUCACUACAGCCAUGAAACUUGGCUGCAGCAGCAGCAAGUCAGCUCCUUCCGACGCUGCAUGAGGAGACCUGUGGGUUUCAAAUUAGAGCUAAUUCCUAAUAUGAAAACUUUAUAGAAUUUUAUCCAGUCCUUUUGACAUAUUAUAAGGACUAUAAAUCCUUAAUAUCAAGUCAUUUGAAAGGAGUUUGCAAUGUAUAAGCAACCAUAUAUGGCUGAUUUAGGCAAUGACAACCUUAUUUAUGCAUGUUAUGGAUUGGGUUUAUUAUGUUCUGUUAAUCGUGGUAUUGAAAUUUAUAGAAUUUCAUACUCUUGUAUUGUGAUAUAAAAGAAUGUUUAGAUGUGAAUAUCAAUAAAUGAAUUAUAGUGAUUCUUAAAUGAAAACUAUUUUAGCAAUUUCCCUCAUAAAUAGUGAUUUGCUUGUCCAUCUGCUUUUAAAUAUAUUGGGUUAGGAUUAAGUGUAAUCAUGUAUUCUAUAAUUGUUGAUCUUUAUUUUAUUAUUUAUCUGCAUUUGAUUUAUUUAUUUGUCUUUAUUGGGAAAAAUUAACCCCAACUCUUUACUUUUUGUGUGGAAUAAUUAAUUCCCCACUUGCAAUUUUUUGUGUUUUUUGACUCUCCCAGUCACCUCUUAUUAUUCCCCACAGGCUACAACUCUAUUUUUCUUGUCUGGUUUGCAACAUUCUUUAGUUAGUUUCUCCUUAUUUAAAGUUUUGCUAUACACAAAUCACCAACUCUUUGGAAUAUUUUAGGUCCAUUGUGAUUUUUAUUGUUUAUUUGGAUAUUAGGAACCUUCAUUUCAAUAUUGGAUUUUGCGGAAGCAGAGCAUGCUCGUUCGGUCGAGUACCGAAAUGAAAUAUCGUGUGAAAUGAAGUCGAAGCAGUCCGCACCAUGUUACAGGAAUUGGGAAUAACGGUCCGCCUUAGAUCGACACUUUGUUUGUGAAAAGGUGAAGAAUGGUGACAUCGUAAUUAAACAUAUUCUCGGGACAGAUCAGUGGUCGGACAUUCUGACUAAGCACUCUUUCCAAAAUUAUUUGCAAGUUUACAAGUCUACACACACGGAUAGAUUAGUCCAGUCAGUAAACAGUUAGUAGUUGGUUAGGUUAACAUUUAUUAGUUAGUUAUUAUUAAAUCUAAUAGUAUAAAUAGAUAACAACCUGUAAUUGUGCACUCAGUUAGGUUUUGAUUAAACAUAAUCAUUUUGUAAAUCAUAUAUUGAUAGUAGAUCAAACUUCCAUCUCAUUUUAAAUUAUUUUAUUGUUCCUAUACCAUUUUGUGUUUUGAAAUGUAUUUUUUAAUGGUUAUCAGUAUAUUGGUUGAGAGGUCAAUAGAUGUUGCAUUUCUGGAUAGCCGAAUAGUUUAAAGAUGAUCUGUCGGAAUAUUUUUUUUAAGAGAAAUAGGUUACAUGAUUUUAUAAACUACUAUAGUAAUUUAUUAAACAAAGGUUUCGUGGUGUAGUUGGUUAUCACGUCAGUCUAACACACUGAAGGUCUCCGGUUCGAACCCGGGCGAAGCCAAUGUAUAUUAAAUUUUGUAUGAAAAUAAUUUUGCAUACAUUUUGAAUUCAGAUUUUUAAAACCUAAACAAUGUAUUUUGUUAAUCCUGAUUUACAUUGUGCAGCUCACUAGAUUGUAGAAGCAGUGUUAAUAAUGAUCACACACAGUCAUGUUCAUUGCAUUCUGUCUGAUUGUAGAAGAAGAUGUAAAUUGAAAAGAUAUGUUUACACAAUAUAAUAAGAAGAUGAUUGUAACUAACUAUUGAGGGCAAGGGAGGGCAAUUGCCCCCCCUAAAAUUUGGAAAUUUUUGGAGGACCGAUAUGUAAUUAAAUUUUUUAUAGGGGGUUUUGUAUAAUUUUCACAAUAUAUUAAUAUUUUUAAGGGUUAAUAUAUAAAUUUCACAAUAUUUAUAUAUUAUAUAAAUUUCUUUCCCCCAAUCUUCUUCCCCAAUACUGUCGAUUUCUCCUCCUCCUCCAAUUUCUUCCCCAAUCUCUCCUCCUCCCAUAUCCCCAAACUGCUGUAUUGUUGAUUUGUUGUUGGUUUAGCUCUGCAGCUGCUUCUCUCUAAAACUCGUUUCUUACCAAGGUUACUGCUUACCUUUUGAAGCCUUACUCACAUCACCAUUUAGGAUGUUCACAAUUUCCAAAGAUUUCUGGUUUGAAAUCGAAACAUUUACCAACUUAUGUUCUAUUUCAUUGGAAGUAUCUGUAUCUCUACAGCAAUCAACACUAGUAUCGUUGAAUUGAGGUACCACGAUCUCUUUCACGAAUGUCUGUUUAAUUUUGCUGCUUUUACAAACGUUCUUUUUCGCUCCACGAGCAUUUCUUUUUGACAGUUUAUCAUUGGUAGGUUUUGAAAUUGUAACAUCAUUAUGUUCCAUGAGAAAAGAAAGUCCUUGGAAUUCUGAAAAGAUAAAAAUACUUCUGCAGGCUGUUUGGUUACUUUUAAGCAAGCGGUAGAGACUGCUUCUUUUAAGUGCAUUCCUUUGGUAUCAUUUGACUGACAUGUAACUUUGCUGGGAAAUAACUUUUGCCUUGCUUCUUUGUCAAACAGUGGUAAAAUACCAAUAGUUUCAUUCUUAUGAUCUAUCUUUCUCCUUUUAUCAGAUUUAGUUCUAUUAGAGGUAAUAUCAGUGGUUGUAUUUUCUGAAAUUUGUAUAAGUUUUUUAAUUAGUACAAAAAAAAUUUUUCGUCUUCGGCGAAUUUUGCCCCUGCCGGGGAAUCCUGGAUACGCCUCUGAUUGAGGGUGGGUGUUGGAUUUUGUUCUUGUUGUGUAUUUAAUUUCUAUGUUGACGUAAUUGAUAAUAUAAUAUGUGACAUUUGUGACUUAUAUUUAGAAAAUCUUUUUACUUAUAAAAAGUUAAAUUCCGUUAUUAAAAAAAAUGCUAGAGAUGUUCUUGGAAUUAUUGACAUAUUAAUUAAUUUUAUAGCCGAUCGAUAUUUAACUUUUUGAAUUUGGUUAUUGCUAUCUUAUUUUCACCCCAGUGUACUGGGAAUUAGCAGCCUAUUUCUUGAUGUUUGUAAAUUAAACAGUGUGUGUUUGAUCCUAUAGUUGAAACCUGAAGAAACGUCGACAAGUAAACAUCCAGCGGAAGGAGAUUGAAACAACGAUGAGGUCGAGCCGCUUCCUGCUUACCAGGUUUUCAAGCAAAAACUAGCCAGUUUUCGAAUUUCAAUAAGUGAGAUAGAAAGGGGGUUCUGGGUUUAUUUAGGGUUUAUUUAUUUACUUGUUCGUUCGUUCAUUUGUUUAUUGGAAAGAAGCAGGAAUACCUGCUUGAUUUCAUCUUCAAUAACAACCUCAACCUCAAAAUCGAAACCUGGUGGUCUGUUCAUAAAGGAUGCACCAUUCCAUCGGAAGUUCUUAUCUGGAAAUGGUCACCCAUCUUUUGGUCAUGGUAUUACGCACUACAUACCCACAUACACGUACAUUUGGAAUGUAGUUUUUUUGUUUGGUCUAAAUCUGUUGAUAUCAGGGACUGGGUAUGAACAAUCAUCUGCAGGAACUCAUGCUGGUGCCAGUUUGUCCGCUUUUACAAUCUUCAAGGGCAAAGCUGCGCUCAUCAUCGAACCAUUUCUUCCCAAAUAUGUCAAGAAUCUUGUAUGAAUCUAUCAUCUAUCUGGACCUGGUUAUAUAUUUUGCCAUAGUAACAUGUUGGUUGGUGUUUGCUCUUUGCAGAAUGGAACAUCCGUAAUCAAUAGGAAAGGUACCAUGUUUCUCAAGUUCAUGCCAGCUAUUGGUGCGCGCAAGUAUGAUUAUCAAAAGAAGGAGGUUAUUUCUCUAUUUGCUCAGAUCUAGGGUUUUAUUUUAUUCACUCUUCCACAUACAUACAAAACACACAGCUUGAGUGCUUGCUAAGAACAAAUUCUUUUCUCUGAUGUUUACAAUUCUUGCCAAUAUCGAUGGCAUCACAGGUAGUUGCUUUAAAUGCCACUGAGCUUGGAUGCCUAAUUAGCCUGGAUCCUAAUGAAUCUUGUGAAUUUGUGCAUGAUCCUUCUAUGAAAUCAGGGUAUGUUUACAUGUAUAAUGGGAAAGAUGCAGGUGUUGAUGAAACUGUUUGAUGAAUUCUGUUUAUUUAAUUUCAGCCUUGAAGGUCAGAUUAAAAAGACACUAAAUAUAAUUCCAAUACCUUCACAGAAUGGUGGAUAUUUCUUUAACUUGAGUAAGCAUACCAUGUUUAUGUGUUGAUUGUUAACAUUUACAUGAUUGCAUUCUUGUGUCUUCCCUUCAGCUUAUGUUUACCUUCUUUCAUCACAAUGCAGCUGUAAAUAAUUCUAUCUUAAAAACAUCAGAGAGAUUCAGUCUCCCUGUGACAAAAGCUGAGUUCACUGUCAUGCGCACUGCUUUUAGUGUUAGUGAUCCAGAUCUAUUUCAUUGAAUCAUCCCCCUCCCUCUUUUUGCUUUUGUUAUAAUGUUUUGUCCAACAAUUGAUUGAUGUGCAAUAUACUAUAUAUCUUGAAUGUAGUUUACCUUGCCACAUAUCAUGGGUUGGAGCCAAGCUUUUGCAAUGAAUCAAGCAACAAAUUUGCAAUUUCAGGGUGACCACCAUCCAAGUCUGAAUCAUCAUCAGCCAACAAGUACGAAUUUCAAUUCUAGUAGGCAAGAAGAAGACUGCGUAAGUCCAUUUCAGCUGAAAGAAAGUAUGAAGUUCAAUUCUUCUAAGCAAGAUGCCCGUCUCGUUCCAAUGGCGGAGUGGGAGAAGUAAAAUCAGUAUAUUGGCGCCAAUCAUUAGUAUCUAAAAGGGUUCUGGAUUAUGUCUACUAUCUACCAACUACAACAAGAACAACAAUUCUGUUUGGUUGUAUCUAUUUAUUGCUUGUUGCCCUUUAUAGAUAUCUCAAACAUGAUGAAUCAUGAAUGUGGGGCUUGUUUACAUCUCUUUGGAAUUUUCCUAAUGAUGUAUUUUGAAGAUUUAUCACCAAUAAUCAUGUGUAUUUGUCUCUACUUUCUUGUUUGUAUACUAAUUUGUUGGAAAAAGAUUUGCCAAGUUAUUUAAAUUUACUGCAAAGAAUCCUUACCUUAUGUUUGACAAAAUUCCCAAAACGACUACUUUUAUUGUGUUAUUAGGUUUAUUCCAGUGAAGUUGAUUAUAAAAUAAAUAAAAACUUCUACUUUUAUAGUUUACCUACCAUCACCAGAGAGCAGUGCAGCAAAUCCAGAUAUGUAUAUAUAUAUAUUUAUAAAAAUUGUAAUAUAAAUACCAGCAAUUUAGGUCUCCUUUGUACUAGUUUGAAUUGAUUUGCAGGCAGCCCCAUUAUUCUCCAUGGAAGAAGUAGAAGGUCUCAAGCAUGGAGUGGCCGUUCCCAAUUCACAAACAUUAGGAAAUAAUCCCUGGGCAUUUCCACAGCUCAUAAUGCAGGAAUUUCCAUUGAAAUUGGCAUUGUUUAGCAGAGUAAGGGGAUUGGAAUUCCCCGAUGAACCCUUGAUCUGCUGCUGUCUUUGAUACGGAAAAGAUCCGAUCUCACCAUCUAUCCUCCCCUUGAAAUCCAAAAGCAUGCACUUGAGCCUAGUAUUCUCAGCCUCUAGCGAUGCCAAAUACUGUACCUUCUUCGACAGCACCCGGUUCUCCUCUCUCAGAUCACGAUUUUCAUCCUCCAAACUGGCCGUUCUCGCCUUCUUCUUCUCUCUGUACUUCCUGACCGCCUCGCGAUUCCCAACACUUCGCUUCUUGACGUCGCGAACUCCAGCGGAGUCGGGCGUGGGUAGAAUGUUAGUGUGGACGUGGAAGCAGGUGUGCGUGUGGGUAUUGGCGAGAUCGGGACCGGGAGGGUUGCAGGUGUGGGUGUGGGUACAUGCCUGCGUGUCUCUGGAGACGUCAUUGAAGAAUCCACCCAUGGAACAACUGCUUAACAUCUCAUCAACGUCCUGGUUGAAAUCGCCGAGGUCCAAGUCGCCAUCUUCCAUGAACAUCCCUGAUACCUCCUCACCUGAGCGUCGUUGUCUAGCGCUAAAAAAACCCUAAUUCCAACCCCAAACCAAAGUCUCGGACUCUUGGAGCUUCAAAUCCUGAAUGGUUGUAUCCUGUGGCCUGUGCCCCCCCUGUCCCUGUGGCCUGUGGCUGUGGACCCCUCCUGUGGAGAAAAAUAGAAAAUGCAAUUUGUAAUAAUAUUCUAAAUUUGUAAAAAUAAUUUUUUGGCAGAUGAUUUAUUAAAUGUUAUUUGAAGUUUAAUAAAAAUAGCUGUAAUGUUGUAUACUUGACUACUUGUCUCCCACUCUUUCAUUAUCUUAUUAUAAUCACUGAGUGAGUGAGUGAUUGAAUGAGUUCCAUACUUUCAAUUUCAAUCCAAUAAUCGAUAUUUUCAAAUUUCAGCUUACAAGUGACGAUAGAUCGAAAUAUUGAAUUGAUAUUUCGAAAUUACAACAAAAGAAAAUAUCAAGAUUACGUGUAAAAAAGAAAAAGAAAAGGCUCUCUUCUCCGAUCACUCCUUGUCGGUAAAAUCUUAAACAACGGUGACUCUGGCCAGACGAGGUCUGCUCUGUCUGUCCGACGACCCAUUCAUGUCUUCUUCUAUAGAGCGUUUUCUCUUUGUACCGGCACUCUUUGGGUUUUCCAUAGAGGCAACAGCAGAGGCAGAAUAAGAAGCAUCGGGUCCUUCUUCAGGAGGGGGCCUGACGUAGGUCUUCAGUCUUAUUAUGUCUGCUGUUUUUAAUGGCUUUGAGAUGAACUCCUCGGCUCCACUUGCUUCGCAUCUGGUGAUUCUCCGAGGGUCAUUCUCCGAUGACAUGAUCACAAUGGGAAUCGAUUUAAGGCAAUCACUUCCCUGAGAAGUAGAGAAUGAAUGAAUAAAUAAAUGAUGAAAUUUAACAACAGACAGACAGACAGACAGAUAUCUUGCAUCAGAUUAAUUUUAUUACUUUCACGGCCUUCAGAAGAUCGUAGCCACUCAUCCCCGGCAUGCAGUAAUCUGUGAGAAUUAUGUCGAUUUUAUUAUGCCCAUCAUCACUGGUCCCAGACUUGCUGCUGUUUUCUUCUUUCGUCAGCAAACCAAGAACUUCCAUGGCUUUCUUUCCACUGUCGACGACAAUAACUGGAAACCGAAACCAAAUCAAACCAUAGUAGAAAAAGAAAAGGAGGAGGGGGUUGUAAAAAAGAAGAAGAUGUACCUUCAAAAUUACCAUCAGCAUUCUUGAGUAGUUUCUCUACUAUCUUCCUGUCUACAAUGGAGUCGUCUACCACCAAAACCCUCACCACUCUUCUUCUCUCUUCCUCCAUCGUUCAAACACAAGAUGGGAGGAAAAGGAGAAAGGGAGAAGAGAUGUAAGGAAAAUAGAGAAAGCAAGUGAGGAAUCCAAAUUGCCCAAAUCCUCAAGGAAUGGAAAAAAGGAGAAAGAUAUGAAAGAUUCUGUUUCCGACAACCAAAUCCAAGGCACGCACACCAUCACACAAGAUCUCUCUAAAAUCUUCGAUUUUAAAGUGGGCUCCACCUCCACUUUCUACUUCAAUGUGGCAUUAACUAAACAGAUCUUAACUUAAAAAGUUUAAAGUGUUAAUCUAAAUCUUUUUUCUUCUUCUUUCUUUCUUUUCCUGUCAUUCCAUUUUUUUCCCUUCUAAAUUUUAACUAACACAAGUCAACAACUCAAAGGGAAUAGGGAUUAGGUAAAUAAUUUCAUGAUAAUAAGUUUAAAAUGUUGUGAACUUGUGAUGAUCAGUGAUCACUGACUGGUGAAUGUGAAUGAAUGACGGCGGUUUUUGACCAUUAUUUAAUUAUGUAUGUGGCUCUUAUUGGUCAUUCCUCCUCCUGCAUUAAUGGUUUAAGAUCGUCCAAAUCUACUGUAAAUAUCAAAUAUCAAAGAGAAACAGGUACCAUGUCCUUUAUGAUUCCCUCUCUUCCUGUCAUUUUCGCUCUGUUUUCAACAGUUCAACUGUCUUUAUGUUAUUAACUUUUUUUUUAUUAAUGGUAAAAACUAAACAGAUAAUAAACAAUGUUUAAAGAAAUGCAGUAAGUAAAAAAAAUAGAUUAGAUCGGGAAUUAACUCUUCUUCUUAAAUUCCCACUGUUCUUAGUCAUCAUUCAUUUUCAUUUUCAAAUCUUAAAUAGUUAGUAAAAUCAGAAAUCAAAUCUGUGUGCAUGAAUCAUGAAUAUAUUUAUCAACAGUUCAUCAUCAAUAUCAUCAUCAAUAAUUCAUAACACAAGACUUGGAUAAAAAUAAAUACAUGUUUGUGCGUGAUGGACUAUGACAUAUCAAUGAGUCAUGUUACGUGACUUUGCGAGUUAGGGUUCAACAAAUAUCUCAAUUCUCAACAACUCUUUUACUUUUAAAAUCUUUCAUAAUUUAUCUUCUCACACAAACAAAAUAGUAUAUGCCAAGCUAAAGGAGAGAGGGUGGUGUGUAACUGUGUACCCUACCUAGAAUAUGAUAAUUUGAUAUUGCAACAUCACUCCCAGGCAAAUCUUUUGCUUCCCUGCGAAGAAAGCAAUCUCAUGGAAAGAUUUUGAACCCUUCAAGUCUUCAACACUAUUCAUGAGAUUUUUUUCUUUCUUCAACAAGAAAUCUAGCAAACAAGCAUCGAGUAAUGAGUAAUUGAGUAUCAGAAUAAUUCGUUCACUUUUUAUUUUUGAAUAUUAAAAAGUACUUUUUUAGUGUGUAAAAAAAAAGUUUAUCGCCACUUCACCAAAAUUUCUAUAAAUAUCUUCAACAAAGCCAACUAGCAUUUAUGAAAAUAAGUCAAAAAGGUCACCAGCAAAAAACUGAAAGGUAAAUUCAAGGGGGAGUCUGCUUUACUAACCAUCUUUUUAUCGGUGGAACACUGGUAAAAUUCCCCAAUGAUGAAGAAGACCAUGCCCUGUUGUCACUUCUACCACCAAUAAAGCAAGCACAGCUAACAUGGCUACCCUUCCAUUCCAUGUUUCGGCACUUUUGGUCCAACCCCAUACCCACAAGUUCACAGGCGAUGGUAGCUCGGCACGUGUGCUAUCAUAUGCUGCAAGUAGCUCCUCCACACUUCCCAGAGGAACAAGGGUCUGCAGGAAACCAGAAUUUUUAUUUAAAUUACAACAUCCAUUUCUUACUAAGUUUACUCCUAUCUUUGAAAUCGACUCCACUUUCAAAAAUUGUAGAAUAGUAAUAUACAACCAUCACCUGACUGGCCUCAAGAUUCGACACAGCCAUAGCACCAACAUAAGGGAGGCUUUCAAUUACAGCAUCAGCGAGAUCAGAUAUGAAAUUGGGUUCACAGCCUAAAGCUGGGACCCUUCCCCAUUCAGUUAUUCCAGAUUCCAUUGCAAGUUCUUUGUAUUCGACAUCGAUUUCUUCAAGUGUUUCGAUAUGUUCACUCACGAAACUGGAAAUAAUAAUAAAUGAAUGAAUUGACAAUGAGUAAUAGUAAAAUCAUAGAGAUGUCAUGGGAAUAAGUACUCGAUUGGUUGUACAUAUUUACAAGUGAAAUUACCUGAUUGGUACUGCCAGAAGACUUUUAAUUCCCUUCUGUCCUAGUUCAACAAUGGUUUCGUCAGUGUAUGGCUUCAGCCAUUCUACUGGACCGACUCGACUCUAAAAACAGAAUACAUUAUGUUAAUUAUUGGUAAUCGAAAGCAAUAACACAAUAAAUAAUGUAAUGUCACGUCGAACUAGAUAAUCCCAGUAUUUUAGUUUACAUCCCAAAUUAAAAUUCAUGGAAUAGCCAAUAAGUAUAUCCUGUCAAACUACGCACCACCUACCUGAUAAGCAAGAGUAUAAGCAUUAGAAAUCUUCCUAUUUUCCAAUUCUUGCAUGAUAAAAUCUACACACUCCUCCAUCUCUGCUUUGUAUGGAUCUCCAGCUUCUUCAACAUAAGAAAGUGGCACACCAUGUGCACUGAAAAAUAUCAUAACCUGAACACCAUUUAUAAGAUGAGCAUCUUACAAAAUAUAUGUAGAAAAAAAUUGUUUAUUUAUUUAUGACAACUAAAGCAUAAUUGUAAUAUUUAUUCAGCUAUUUCGUUUCAAAAUUAAGCUGAUUUUCACUAGGGUAAGAUUAAAAUGAACAUGCAGAAUAUCUCGUUAAAGCUGUGCUUAUUCCAGGUGUCUGAAAAGUGACCAUUCCUUUCUCUGGGAUUGGCCAUUGUUUUGUUAUAUUUUCCCACAUAUUUUCUUUUAAUUUCUACAUUUAUGCUUCAAUUUUUAUAGCAAAAAAUUUACAUCUGAUUAUCUUUAUGUCAAUAGUGCGUACUAAAAAGUAUAAUUGUAUGUACCUGCUGAGGGUCUUGAAAUUUUUUUAAUUCCACUUCAAUUAAAUUUGCCAUGGAUUUGAUAUAGCCUUCUCGUUGGUACCAAGAUGGUAUGACUGUGUGUUGCAUGUUAACCAGAUAUUCAUCCUCCCUGAAUAACUAAAGCACUGUCAACAAGUCUAUAUAUGCUUCUAUAUGACCAAAGUUAUUAAUUACAAGCAAAAACUAACCUGAAAAUACUUUCUAAUAAACGAAGGCUUGAACCACUUGUAGAUAUUGAGAACUGAGGAUAAAGAGGCAGCACAACAAGCUUGGUGAUGCCAUCAUUUUUAAUCUGCAUAGACGAUUAUUAAAAAUAUCUUUUACAAUCUAAAUACCUCAAAAGGAAUAGAAGAUAAGUGCAACCUUCAUUCACGUGAUUCUAAUUUUCUAAAUACAUACAGAAACAGAUUAUUUUAAUUUCUUUAUUUAAUUUAUUAACCAAUAAUAAAAUUUAAAAGAAAGAUCACCGACUGUUUGAUCUAUUAAAAAGAAUGCUGAUAACCAAAAUGAACACAACUCCAUAGAGAAAAAUCUGCAGUCAUACUAAACGAACAUGAUCAUUGGCAAGUAUAAUGAUUUUUUUUACCUUCUCAAUAGCUUCUUCUGUAAAGGGAUGCCAAUAACGCAUUCCAACAUACACAUGUGCAGGCACACUUUUGUCAAUCAAAGAUUUUCUUAGUUGUUCUGCCUAGUAGGAAAAAAUAUAUAAUUGAAUCAAAAAAAUGAAGACCAAGCAUAAUUGAAAGAUUUAAUGUUUGAAUUUGAUUAUAAAAAGAACUAAGUUUGUACUAUUAAUGUUAUCAAGCCCCACCCCCUAAAAACGAUAUAUAUAUAAUUUCUCCCCUUGGAUAUCUUAAGGUUAUUUCCCUCCAUCUCUCCCCUUGAUCUCACUGUUUGAGAUUAAAAUAAUCAAAUCAAGGUUUUUUAUAAGGAUGCAUAAAUUCGUAAUGGGUUCUUCCUAGUUCCUAUCAUUUGAGAAAGCAAUGGGUUCUUCCUACAUAGAUGAUUCUUUUUUUUUUAAAGCAAUUAAAUUUCAUUAAGAAAAAAGGGCAAUGGCCAAGUUACAUAGAGUAUAAAAAAAAGAGAGCAAGAAGAUCAUUGACUCUCUUCCAUUAGCUAUGUAAUCUAGUUAUAUAGUAACUAGAUACGCUGCUUCAGGAGGUUGGUCUCCCAUACUUCCAUUAUAAAUGUCUCCAAAGAGUGACAACAAUUCUUCUUGUAACACUUCGGAUCAAAGGAGAAACUGAUGUCUUUAAUGACCUCCUUAAGGACUACCUCAAGAGGCCUACUAACGCUGUUUGUAUCUUUUAUUUCUUUCCGUCCAUAUAUACCACGACAAGCACCCAAUAGCAUUCCAUAGUAGACAUAGAUGAUUCUUGUCUACAACCUUAUAAUGAGUAAUCUUGGAAGUUGGAAGAACUUGUUAAGUUAUGUUUUGGGAUUUGAUUUGAACCUUAUGUGCUUAUGUUUGUGUUUGACCUUACAUUUAGUUAAUUGAUGAAGAGCUAAGACCCAAGUGAUAAGUGUACUAAUGUAGUAUUUCAAACUUAUGUUAUAUGUAAUGCUGAACAGGCAGAAAAUUUACAUGACAAAAAAACCUAUGUCAGUAUCGCAAAAGAUGCUCUAGUUCAUGCAAGAGAAAGACUCAAAGAUACUUAAAUUAUAUUUUUCACAUUGGGGAGCUGGUACAGGAAUACGAAUCGUUUGUAACUUCAAUCAAAACACGAUCCGAUCAUUCCAUGACCUUUGCAAACGAAAUUAACGACAUCGGAGAACAACACUGAAAUUAACGCUGUCAUAAAAGAUUUUCCCAAGGCCGAUGAUAGCGUAAACAUCUGUGAAGUUGAUAUCGUGGCAAAUCUGUUCGAGGAAAGUUCAUCUGAAUGGCUCAAGAAUUCCUUCAGCCAAUCUGGUAACAUCCUCUACUACAAUGUCACCGAUUCUGAGACCACAUGAGCAGCUCAGGUGAGCACUUUCAAACAUCUUCUCAUUUUGGUAAUCAACGCUAUUUGACAUAUAUAAGGAUAAAAAAGUUGCAACUCUUGUUCUUUUGCAAAGUAAAUUUAGUUUGAAUGUUGUAUUUGGAAUGUAAUUUUUAUUACUCUUUUGGUUUGCAUUUUGCAUUUGGAUUUUAUGAAUUGUUUUAUGUAUUGUAAAUGCAAAAAUAAAACUGAUUACGACCACUAUAUAAAACUGCAUGUGUAAAUACCAUUAAAUGCUCUGCCAGAUCUUUUAAUAUAACACAACAAAUCUAAAAUUUUAAUUACAGUAUGAAUGAAAAGGCAGAAGCAAAUGAAUCAUGUGAUUAUUUUAAAAAAUCUUAAUAAACUAGUUUGACAAAGAUUUGGUAACAAAGCAUGGUUGAAAAAUAAUGUAACCAUGUAAGCAAAAAACUUUACUUGUGCAUCAGUCAUUUGUCGAAGGGGAGAACCACCACCAAUAGAAGCAUAACCUUCUUUGCUUUUGGAGGCUCUAGCAACAGAAAUGAAUUGUGCAAGAGGCUUUUGAAGAAAUCCAAACAACUUUGGAAGACGGAUGAUGUCCUGUAAAAAUUUACAGAUAAAAUAAGAAGAAAAUAUUUCAGGAUUUAGGAAAAAAUAAGACAUGGGGGGGGAUACAAGAAAGCAUGCUCCAUGUCCUAUCAAAUUAAUAGUUUCUGGAUAUUUAUUACUAAGAAAUUCUGUCAACAAAUAUUUAUACAUAUCAUAAAAUCAUGUGUUUUAAAUACGACAGUAUAAAAGUUAUGUUAUAAUUUCAAACACAUCAUUCACAUAAAGUAAUAGGGUAAAAAAAAUUAACAACGAAGAUGAAAAAUAAUAUGAGAAACACAAGUUAAUCAAAAUGAUACAGAGUAGGCAUAUUACCGGAUCUGCAAAAAGAUUAAACAAAAAUGGCUGCACAUCUUCAAGAGUCUCUGGACCUCCAAGAUUAAGUAAGAGAACCCCAACUUUGUCAUUGCCCAUGAUAAAUUUAUUGGGUGCAACCUGCAUCUGAGAAGUUAAGGCAGUCUCAGAAGAAGACACAUGUCUUUGAAAUGGAUUUUUUGAGACCAACAAAGGCUGAUAAAUUCCUGGAAAACUUUUCACGACCAAGGACCUUUUCUCUAGGCCCGAGACAGGACGAGCGUCCAUACGAAGUCCAUAAAUACGAUUAGUGUGAUUUAUACAUUUCUGAGAACUGAUUCUGAAAUGAUCAGUCACUAUAUUAGAUAGAGGCAUAUUUUUCUUAAUAGAUAAUGUAUCUUUAAUAAGGAAAAAGGUACUUAUAGUGAUACACUUAUUUUGCUAUAAGAUAUGUAAAGAAAUAUGAGUUACAAAGGAAUGAAUCGCACAUUUUGUAACCAAACUAAAUAUGAACAAAACACAUUUUCUCACUCUUGGGAAGAUGGAUGAUGUCCUAUUAUAUGUAGACAAGAUCAACAAAAUACCUUAUUGACGAAGAUUGAUUUUGAGAUAAAUUAAAACAAUGAAGAUUCAAGCUUCCCGUUUCGAUCAUGCCUCGUGUACUAGCUUGAUAAGACGACGACAAUCGUUCCCCUGAUAGGGGAAAAAUCAAGUUAUCGAUAUUUUGCACAAGAAAUUUUAAUAGUGAAAACCUUGUGUGAUACAAGAGGUUGAGAUUUUAAAACCCAAAGAUUUUUUACAACUAUACUCAUGCAAACACAUGAUGCUUGUUGUAUAGAAUUCUAUUAACUACUGUGGUACAAUCGAUUGCACCGUUGACAUAAAAAAAAAUGUUUUUAUCCAUUACCAUUUACCCACACUAAAAAGUAAAAACAAGCCAAUCUAUAUGCUAUCCCGGGAAUCACAAAUACGAAACCAAUCGAUUCCACCACAAAAAAACUCACAACUUCAAUCCAAAAACACAUGAGUAACAACGCUACUCCAAAAACGAACACAAUUGGGCACAAUAAAUAACAAAAGACAGUUACACACAAAACAGAUCCUGAAAAAGCGACAGUUACAGUGAGAAACCGGCGAAGCGAUGUAGAGCAUGAAUACGUCAAGUCCCAUACCUGGAUCCUCUAAUAUCUCCGACGAUCGCGGACGCAGAAAGUUCCAAAUCCCCAACCUCCAGGUUUUGUGGACGAGUGGCACAGUAAAACAAGAGGCGGUCUGAAGAGGCGAGUGGAUGAGAUGACUUGGACGAAAUUAAAAAUCGUAGAAACAUAAGGACAUAUUUCACAAAAAAGUAACAUUGCUAAAGAAUUUAUGAGUAAUUUAUUUUCUAACUAUUUUAUUGAUUAGUUAAUUAUAUGUGAAAAAUUGAAAAUGGUAUUAAUAAAAGAAAAUAGUUUGGACUUUUCUGAAAUUUUUUUAACAUGCAUGUAAAUAUGUAAUAAAAUGACAACUAAGAAUGUGAUGGAAGAUAAUCUUAUAUUGGAAUUUCGAUAUUUGACAAUUGACAAAUCUUAAAGCUGAGAAGUUGGAAGGGGUUAUACUCUAAAUCUCCAAUACUUCAUUUGCUGAAUAUAAUUUAAUUAUUUAAGUUAUAAUUUAUAAAUAUAAAAUAACUUUUUUUCUUUGUAUGCCUAUGAACAGUAUGAAGUAAGAACUACUUAAUACUCUAACAGGUUUAAAAAAAAAAAAAUAAUAAUAAUAAAAAAUAAAUAAAUAAAUAUAUGAAAAAUGAACUACUUUAAUACCAUUUUUAUUGAAAAAAAUAUCAUGAUAAUUUAUUGAUUUCAUUUUCAUGUAUCUUAUUGAAAAUAUCUCACAUAAUUUUUUGUUUCUUUGUAUAAGUAUACAACCAACGGCAACGACCAAUGGAUGUCACGUCAUCUGACAGCUUGGUUUGGGUUGGAAAGCUUUUGCGGCGCGUUACCAAGAACAACAACAAAUGACAGCAAUUUCGAUGUCUUCUGCUUUUCUUGUUAGUUGGAAAUAGUCAGAAAUAUUCAUCUUUUGAACCGUGUUUCUUUAUAAUAUUCUAUCUUAUACAACCACCGUAUACGAAUAAUAACUGUAUAACGUAUGUAUAUGUAUGUUCUUUGGUUCUUAAAAUGCUAUUCAUUAAUCAUUACUGUUAUGUAAUAUUAUUUAUUUCUUUUACUUGACUAAUUACAUUACAUUACAUACUUAUUCAAUUAAUUGAAAAUUGAAAUAGUCGUUCAGUUUUCAUAUUUUGAUGUGAUCAAAUCAAACGAAUAGACCGCCAAACGGAGUAAAAAAUGGAAUAAGAAAAUCAACGACUUUCAAAAGUUAUACUUGCUCAUUUUUGGAUAUUUCCAUAAACUCACCAAUCUAUGACGUAUGAUCAUCCAUCAUCGAUUGAUUUCUAAUAUGGACGGUUAUCAUGACGUCACCUGUCAAUUGUGUUUAAAGAGUAAUAAUAAUAAGAAAAGGCCAAAAGGAUAACAAUGUGAGGGUGAGGCAGAGGGAGGACUGGGGAAAGGAUUUAGGAAAUUAGCCGUUACGACUUAUGAUGACGCGGUUGCCAAAAUGAGGAGAAACAGCGAUGGUCCGAUGAAUGGACGAUAAAGAGACAAAAUUUCGUAGCCUCACAGCCGUUUAUUAUUAUUUUUUUUUUUUAAGAAAUAAAAAUAAAAAGGUAUUUUUGUUGCUGUUCUUCAUGAUAUGUCUGUCGACCUGUCUUUCUAUUUAAUCCUGCCUUUCGUUGGUCUUCCCUGGUUUUCCCCCAUCUCUGUCCGUUUCCAUCAUUUUUGCCUUGUCAUUUCUGCGUAGGAUCCCACUCUCAAUCUCUCCGUCUCCUUCACCAUUUUCAUCCAUCGCCGUCUUGCUCGCUUCCAAUCUGCAUUUUCCUUUCGAUUAGGUUUCUAAUCUAAUUAUAUCCAACUCCUUUCUAUUCAAUAUUCAUUUCCUUUUUGGGUUACCUCUCCGAUCUCGUCAUUCUCGCAACUGGCUCACCAUCAUCUUGCAGCAUCCCAGAGGGCGGAGGGGGAACCGUAUCUUGCUCAUCUCCCUUCUCAGAUUUAAACACACACACAGACAGAGAUUUACAUACGUACAUACAUCUCCUUCUUUUGUUGUUUUCUUCCUUGUUCAGAGAAUGAAAUCUCUUCCCAAGAGCAAACGAGACGAAGUCGACGUCUCAAACGAGUUCUUCCCGGCAACACCAAGAAAGGAAUUCUCAAUAGGUCUAAUCCGGAUCGUCACGGCCAUGGUCAUCUUCAUGGCCGGAGGCGUGUUGGGUCUUUCGGUAAGUUCGACUUUCACGAGAUACUACCCUUUACACACCGAUGUCUUCUUCCCGGAAACGCGUUACAUCUCCAACAGCAACAGGGAUUGCUCCGGUAUUCGGAAUUUUGUAAAACCUGCACAAGUCAACCAUAACAUGAACGACCAGCAGCUUUUCUGGAGAGGGUCGAUGGUGCCUACGAUCAAAGAUUACCCAUUCAGGAGGGUCCCCAAAGUCGCCUUCAUGUUCAUGACAAGAGGUUCGAUUCCUCUCCAACCGUUAUGGGAUAAGUUCUUCGACGGCCAUGAGAAGUACUUCUCCGUCUACGUUCAUACUGCCCCUGGAUAUAAACUUAAUGUUUCCAAAACCUCCGCCUUUUACCGUCAGGAGAUUCCAAGCCAGGUACCCUAAAUCAACAACCACCAUCCAUCCAAUCGAUAACCAACAAUCACAUCCAUACAUUAACAUACUGUUUCAUCAUAUCUGCUCCCUACUCACUCAUGUGAUUCCUUUGGUCAGGUUGUGGAAUGGGGAUCGAUAACACUGGUAGAUGCAGAGAAACGACUUCUGGCAAAUGCAUUACUGGACUUCAACAACGAGAGAUUUGUUCUGCUCUCGGAGAGCUGCAUUCCGAUAUUCAAUUUUCCCAAAGUGUACAACUACUUGAUAAACUCCAAGCAGAGCUACGUUCAAUCCUACGACGAAGACACCCCGCGCGGACGAGGGCGGUACAGCCGCCAUAUGUAUCCGGAGGUCAGACCUUUCCAAUGGCGGAAAGGUUCGGAGUGGUUCGAGUUAAAUCGAAAGUUAGCAGUCACCAUGGUAUCAGAGUCUAAAUACUACCAUGUCUUCAAGAAGUAUUGCAGACCUUCGUGCUACCCAGAUGAACAUUAUAUUCCAACCUAUCUAAACAUGUUCAAUGGCAGUUUGAAUUCAAACCGAACCGUAACUUGGGUGGAUUGGUCGCGAGAAGGUCCUCAUCCAGCCAUGUUCGGGAACGAGGAUGUUACCGAGGAUUUUAUAAACUCGAUAAGAAACAAUGGAACCAUCUGUACUUACAAUAACAGACCUACUUCAGUCUGCUAUCUCUUUGCUCGGAAAUUCGCUCCAAGCGCACUUCGGCCACUUCUCAAUAUGUCCUCCAAACUCAUGAAAUACUGAAGAGAGGCUAGGGUAGACUAGGCUAGGAUUCUCUCCCUCCCUCCCUCUCCUCCUACAAUGGAGAUAAUUCUUUUGAUUCUUUGAUUCUUUUUUUUCACAAGGAACAAGUCAUAUUGCCUGCCUCCCCGGCCGGUCACGCCGCCGGAAGUUGGGGCCAAGGCGGCACUGGGCCCAGGGUUACCAUAUAUAGUAGGCACAGGACAUGCUACGCAUGAUGAGCCAGCAGUUUAGAAUUGUUAUUGCUUUCUAUGCUGUUUACAGACAAGAAUUCAGUGUAAAAUCAGGGUGGAAAGGAAAACUACUUCUUCUUUUGUGAAUAUAUAAAUUCAAAUUUCUAUUGCAUAUCUACAUAAUUACAUUGCAUUGCUGGAUCACCUGGAUGUGUGUGUUAUGACUGUACUUGAUGUUUACAGGUUUGGCAAGGACAUGUUAACUACCACAUGAUCUCCAGUCUGGAUUUCAUGUUAAGUUGCUCAACUAUAAAAAUUAAACCAUUCCUUUUCAAAAUGGAAACCUCAAAUAACACUCAAGGUUCAGGCCUCAAAACUGUGAAUUCUUUUUAACUCAUUUCAUUCAAAUUCUGGAGUGAAGGAUUGAUUGAAUGAAGUUGAAACUAGUUGAACUAAGUCGUCUAAAUCCUCCUCCUCAUGUUAUUGAUGUUUGAUAGCACACAAACUGUGUGUCUUUUCAAACCAAAAUACCAAAUACUAAACAAACUUGAAUAUCAGACAGACUUCGUGAACUUUAAGAGUCUACACAAACUAGUUGAGAUAAUCCACACGCACACAUAAUGAUUCAUUAAAUAUGCAGACAUGACAAAAUCAUAAUGAAUAUACAACAAAACACAGAGAACACACGCCUAAUCAAAGAUUUAUUUAUGUAUAAAAGGCAGAAGCAAGAGUUUAUUACUUUUGUGGAUGGACAGAAGAAAGACUUAUCUUAAUCCUUAUUGUCUGUCUUAUCGCUAUGCCAUUGCAGGCCAUGGAGUGAUUCCGGAGGCCGGGAAAGAAGCUUUUAUGAGAGGUAAACGCCUAAUCGUGGUAAAAGCUUCGUUCAGACGUGCAACUCGACUCACUGAUUGUGAUGCCCUCUGCAUAUUACAUGCAAGUUAUGAACAGAUAAGUAUAGUGUUCUAACUUCAAAUCUUAAUAUCUACUCAGAAAAUCAAUAUAGAUAAUGUUCACCUUGCUGCCACUGAAGCUGAGAUUCACAGGUAUGGUCUGAUUCUUCUUCUUCUUCAAUCUGUACCAUCUUCUUUUCCCAAGCAUUACAAACCCCAUCACGGCCAUGGCUGCUAUAGAUAUUGACCAAACAGGUUUCAUGUUGAAAAUACAGUACUUGAUUAGGUCCAGUGGGAGCUUCCAAAAAAGUACCAACUUAGAACUGAUUCCAUUGCUGAUGAUAGGUAUAUUUUCUGUUUCACUCUUCUUCAUAGGGAUCGUCUCCGAUUCUAGAGAAUUCGCCUUCGAGGUUAUUGAUCUGUCGACUUCGUCACUAACCUCCUCCGGAUGUUGAGAAUCAUCACUCUUUGACUCGAUUUUUUUAACAAUCUCAACUCCUCCAUAACUCCCUUCUUUUUUUUCUUCCUCCACAUACAUCCUCCCCAUCAAAUCCGACGAAUUGACAUCCCCUGGAACUUCAACCAUUCCCUUCCCCUUCUCCUCCUCCAGUUCCGAACCAACAGCCAUCUCUCCGUCCGAACCACGAGAACGAACCUCCACAGUCACGCCAUCAUCAGAGUCGACAACUAAGUAAUUCUGGGUUUCAGAAUCGUCAGUUUCAAGAGAGGGGAUCUCGUUUGGGUGCUGCAGCAACUCCCAAUCCAACAGCUCAGCUGUGUACUCCUCCAUCUCCGCCAUGCCGGAGUUCGGUAAAUGAUUAGGGUUUGAUCAAAACGUAGUUCGUACGCAAAAGAGAAGAAGAAGAAGAAGAAGAAGAAGAAGAAAGGAAUGUUUUGGAAUUUAAUCCCAAUUUCCCAGCAGUAAUGCUACAAAUGAUUACGGACGAUCCACGAUAUGUGCCAAGUAAGUAGUAGGAAAGCAAAGUAUCUAAAUAACUAAUGCAAGAUAUGAUUAAAGCGAAAGUGAUUGCCAAUAGGACGGAGUAAAACGUAAAUUGAAAAAAAACAGGAAGCGACGAUACAAUAAAAAAAAACUAUACACUUCUUUCUUCAAAUUCAAACCAUUUACAAUCUAAAUUCCCUUUAUAGCAAAAACACCAAAACUGAGAUAGAUAAAAAAAGGAGAUUUUAACCAUUCUACAUCUGGCUUGAGGAAGAAGAAGUGACGGCCGUGACAGACGCAGUGUCUGCGCCGCCGCAGUAGUAAUCGUCAAAUGGCGUGAUAAACUCUUCUUCGGCAACUUGACAAUGCUCGAGAUCUCUCAACGCCAGGGAGUCCGCUAUGGGACAGUAAACCAGCAUCCAAAUGCAGAGGAGGGUACACGAAAGCAGUGCUGAGAAGGCGAUGAAAACAAACGUUUCGUGCAGAAAACCUCCUGGUCGGGGCAAAACUGAGACACCAAGAAGACUCACCCUGAGCAGCAACAGAGAGAUCACUGAGACAACCAGGACGUAUAUUCUCCUGUGGAGGCUCUUAUUGAUCACUGUUGUUAGCAUCUUGAAUCCGAGAUAUGCUAGGUAACUUAUCAGAAUGGCGUCGAAGAGGCCAAGGAGGAGAGUGUUGAUCAAUGGGUAGAGGCAAACUACGGUGCCGGUGCCGUCAAGCAAGUAAGAGGACACGUCUGUAAAGUACUUGUUUAGUUUGACCAUGGCCUGGCUACUAUCCUCCUCCACCGUUACGAGUACGGGUCCGGAAAAAACAAGGACGAGUUGCAGGAUAAAGAUCGGGAAGCAGAUGAGGAAGACGUAAAGCAUGACUCUUCUGUCCCACCGGUGACUGAGAGCGCCGGAUUCUUUCUUCUGCAACGAAGAACGGAGGAGGAACACGAGCAUGAGAAUCAAGGUCGGUUCGGCGAAUCCGAUGUUGGAGAUUACGUAGAACUUGCAUAUGGUAUCUUGCAAUGCUGGUGUGGUGAAUAUCCUUCCCCGCCCUUUUAGCAACCUUAGUCUUAUUAAUUCCCCAAAUCCCCAAAGAAUCGCAACUAAAAUGAACGCGAUUCGGAUUAACCAGGGGCCGUUAAAGUAUCUCAGUUGAAUUGGAUGAUCUCGCCUUCGUUGUUGGGUUUGAGAUCGGAAGUAGAUUGAGUAAACGAUGCAGAGUAAGCCAAGGACAGCUAGGAGAAGCAGUAGAGAAACCGUCGCUGCACCGAACGCAUCGGCAAUAUGUCUGCGCAAGGACAUCACCCGAACAACAGAUUCCACGCAUGCUCCCUGCCAGCAUCGAUACACAAAGACCCUAUGAUGCCCGUCGCCUUCCCUUUUUUAUUUCUGCCCCUUCUGCCGUGACGUUCUUCAGGGUUGUUGACUGACAAAAAAAGCACACAAAUCCCUACCAAUUGUUAGAAUGACUGUCUGAACCCUAGAUAGACGACUGAAUACCACACAACUAACAACAAACAAUCUGCAAACCAUAGGACCAAAAUAGAAAGAAUCAGCAGGCAUACCUUAAGAAACAAAAUCGACAGCAAUCCCCAGAAAGAUUGAUGCAAUAUUCAGAUCAGGAUUCCACCGCGUCGAAGCAAGAAGUCGCUCAACGAACCAACAUUCCCUACCUGCCACAGGGGAAUACACAGGAUUCCAAGAACGAAGAAGAAAAUCUCAAGGCAACUAGACGAGGGAGAAAAGAAGAGAUGAAAGUGGAGGCGAAUGAGAUUAUGGAAGAGAGAGAGAAAGAGAAGGUUGGAAGAAGCUUGGUUGUAGACAGUCUGUCACCAGCUGUAACUUUAGGUUCGGAGUAACUCCGAGCCUACCUGACAAGUGACAACCAAUCCACAGCUUCCAAGUGCAUUGAGUUAUAACAAAUAAAAUCCAAACGGGUCAGGGUCGUCAGAGUCGAUUGAGAAACUACAAGAUUUAUCAUUUGAGGAUGGUUUGAUUUAGGUUUGACCAUGACCUGGUCCAAAAUUUAACCCUUUCAUCUCACUAGCUGGAUGGAGCUGGCUCAACCAAGAUUCCAUAUUUCCAUGUUUGCAAAUUGCAAUCCAAUAAAUAAUACCAAGCUGUCAAUGUGUUUUGUCUGUCUGUAUUGCAAACAGUAUUUCUUUCUAGACAAAUAAAUAUGUUCAUGAAUCAUGUUGCUUGCUUGCUGAAGUGAUCUGAGUUGACCAGAACUGUUCGUGAGAGCGAUGACCUGAUCCAACCCGAUCAACAAGUUCUGCAAACCAAGUGUAACUUGUAAAUGUAACCUUUGAAUGAAAAAGUUGUAUGGUUGAGGUUUUCCAAAAGAAUCUCAACAUCACAAGCUCAAAGUCAAAAUAUCUUAAAAGAAAAACAUAGUUGUCUUGCAUCACUUGGCUUGUUUAUGUGAGAAAAAUUGAAGAGAAAAAUAUACGUAUACGAGAAUUUAGCAAUUUACCUGUUUACUAGGAUUUACGCAGGAGAAAGAUUCUGGGGUAUCCAUAUUCGCAUAGUGUUGUCAUAAAAUGAACAAGUAGCAACAAGACAUGACGAUUCAUUUCUAUCUCUGCAACUUCUUUGCCAAUCUGCACCAUAAGCUAACGACUCGUGCUUCUUGUACUUUUCUAUAACUGUGAUAUCAUCAUUUUUCCCAAUUCUGAUUAUGGCAAAAUCAUUAUGCAUGCAAGCAGCCAGUACCAAGUCUGGAUUAUCAGGAUGGUAUUUGAUUCUCCACACCCCACCUCCUAAAUUUAUGGAACAUUCAUCUACGGGUUUUGAAACAGAUCUUACAUCCCACACUCUCAGAGAUUCAUCAUAGCUCCCUGUGAGAACCAUGUUGGGGUUUGAAGGGUUCUUGGCAAUGCAACAUACACCCAUCUUAUGUGAUUUUGUGUUCCGAAAAACUGAAUUGGGGGGUGUGUCGCGCAGAUCCCAGCAACAAAACCGACAGUCAUCUGAGCCUGUGUACAGUAGUUGUGGUUGAUGAUAAUCGAUCAAUGUAGACCAAACUUCGUAAUCGUGAGCUUUCCAGGACUGGGAUACAUGUAUUUCAGACUCUGCAAGUGUUGCCAUGGAUACUGAACCAUCUGAAAGUCCAAGUGAGAUUGACGUAGAUGAAGGGCUCCAAUCAAGACACAAACACAUUGCAGAACUGAUAUUUUCUGAACCUACAGGCUUCAGCAUAGCUCCUCCUGCACAAAAUUAAAUAAUAAUUGUAAAUUUGUAAUUAUAGAAAUGAUAUUGAAGGCUGAAUAGCAAUAGCAUACCGCAUGCUUCGGUAGCUUCAUUGGACUUGAGUGAAUAAAGGCUCAGGCAUCCAUCAGAAUCGACUUGAGCAAGCAUAGGAUUCAAUAACCUUUCAUUUGGAUUCCAUUUCAUAUCAAAUAUACCCAUUGUCUGUACAACCUGAAGUAGCUGGAGACCUGUGACAGAGCAAGCUGAGAAGAGAGAAAUACUCCCAGAACGAUGAGGUUUGUCACCCUCAUGUAAUGUGUAGGUAGCAGCUGCAAGAACAUUGUGGUAAGGAUGAUGUGGGCAGAAUUCCACUACAUCGGCCCGGCCAUCAAGUUUGUAAUCUGCAAUAUCCAUCUGCAAGGACAACCCAAUUGGUAUGAAAUAAUUAUGAGAAAAUGAGAUUCAUAAAAGAUUGUCCAGAGAAUUAUAGCCACACACAUAAUCUGAAAAAACAAGUAUUUUUUUCCAAGGAAAACCAAAAUAAAAAUGGUACAAAGCACUAACUAAAUUACCAUCUGAUCCCGAUGGUCUGUCUUUCGUUAAAUUGGGUUGUUGAAAAAAAAUGAAGAGAGAAUUUCCAAUCCCCAAAUAAAAAUAAUUACUUUAUAAAUCUACCACCUGGAGAUCCGCCAUCUCCAAUAAGCAGCAAUCAAUCAUGUUAUCGGAUUUUAUUACUCUCAUUAAUUCAUUCAAGGAUUGUUAUUUGUUACAGAUGGGUAGAAACUAGGAAUGAGUGUCUGAAUUAAAAUAUAAAAGCACAUAAAAAAUUAGAACGAAGCAUGAAAACCCUAGAAGACCAAAUGCAAGAUGAAGAAAGAGAUUCUUCUUCCAAUAGCAUAAAUCGCAUUUGAUCUUAAAAUGAAAUGAAAGUUUGCAUUUUCGAAUUCUGAAAGAACGAGACGAACUCCAUUUACCUUGAAUCGAAAACAGUGUAGUGUAGCGUCGGCGAAAUCCCAAGACGAUGAAAGGGAGAGAGUGAGAGAUUAUUUUGAUAUUGGUGAAUUGCAAAAUAACUCUACGAAAUUAAUUAAUUAAUCUAUCUAGAGAAACUGAAAAUUUUGUAAUUGGGAUUUUUGAACGAUAGUUAGUCCCAGUUCCACCAUUGAAAAAGACAAAAAGCUUGUUCGCAUAAAAAAACAGUGACUCCACGUGAUUUCAGGUAUUUCCAUUACCGCAAAACCUUCUCCGCCCCUGAUUUUUAGGAUUCAUUAAUGUAGUAAAUUCGUUUUCGAAAACUAAAUUUUUAGGUAUUUUCGUUUUCCGGUGCUUUCGAUCAACCCAGUUUUUUUCCAAGUGUUUUAUAUUUUACAAGAUCGAUCGAUGCGGCGAUGCCUAUUGCAGCAUUGCCCAGGGAUUAUAAUUUAUAAAGAAGCUAGGGUUUAAUUAAUUUUCUGACCUGAGUUCUGGACAUCUGGAGCUUUGGUAGUACGU
rnacentral:lncRNA from 1 species